UCGAUGCCGGCUAACUCCGUUCUCCUUGUGUUGGCCGCACCGCUUUUAGAAAACGCAGCUCGAGACAGGGGCACCUCCUACAUUUGAACUUGAACGCAACCUAUAUAAGUCAUCCUGCACCCUCCUUCUCUUUUUUAUUUUUUGUUUGUGUGUGUCAUGAACGAGACUGCGCCGGACGCUUCCCAUAUGCUUUUGCAAGCAAUUCGCCUUUUUCCAUUUUUCUGCGUGUAUCAAUUUGAAGGUGCCCGGACACACAACUCGAACCAGCGUAUCAAGUAAGGAAAGCCAGAAAACUGCCACCUCUGAAGUGUUCUACACGAGUCAACAAACGCCUCCAUCCCAGUGAACCGACGACAGCUCCUGAACGUAAUUUUUCGGAUCUUCUAUAGCAACGCGGCCUUUGUCCUCGGCGCUGGUCAGACAACGUCACUUUUUGGCUAACAAGGCUCCGCGACCACCAGUCGAGCCCGUGACCUCGAGCCCGGCAGAGCAACGCCACAGCUACUAAGCCACCAUGACGAGCAGCACGGCCUGGGUGGUCUGCGUUCGAUCAGCCAAGGCCAGAAAAGGUUAAGAAUGCCCAGUCACUGGUCACUACAUGUCCAGAAUGCUAGCUGAGCUCUGCGAGAAGAAGCGGGCCUAGUGUUCCUUGAACGCUCAGCGUCAGCACCGUUAACAGCGUAGGAGACUACUGCCUCGGCUGUUAUGACACAGAUUGCGGACGAUCUAUGGGGCACAAGAUUACCAGAACACAAAACCCGUUGAUGGCAGUAGCUGCAGCGCUGGUUGCACCACUUGGCGAGUUUUUUCAACCACAAUGUGCCAAACAUGUUUGUGCUCCAUCAUUGUUCUCGCAUCAGAAGGGAGGACAAUUUUUUUAAAAAAGCUCAGCAAAUAAUGAAGACUGCCUUCUCAUGAUUAUG